rnacentral:rRNA from 1 species
AGUGGGGAAUAUUGCGCAAUGGGGGCAACCCUGACGCAGCGACGCCGCGUGAGCGAUGACGGCUUUCGGGUUGUAAAGCUCUGUCAAGGGGGAAGAUAGUGACGGUACCCCUGGAGGAAGCCCCGGCUAACUACGUGCCAGCAGCCGCGGUAAAACGUAGGGGGCGAGCGUUGUCCGGAAUUACUGGGCGUAAAGGGCGUGUAGGCGGUUUGGAAAGUCAGCUGUGAAAACCCAGGGCUCAACCCUGGACCUGCAGUUGAAACUUCUUAACUUGAGUGCAGGAGAGGAGAGUGGAAUUCCCGGUGUAGCGGUGACAUGCGUAGAUAUCGGGAGGAACACCGGUGGCGAAGGCGACUCUCUGGUCUGUAACUGACGCUGAGGCGCGAAAGCGUGGGGAGC